GACGAACGCUGGCGGCGUGCCUAAUACAUGCAAGUAGAACGCUGAAGGAGGAGCUUGCUUCUCUGGAUGAGUUGCGAACGGGUGAGUAACGCGUAGGUAGCCUGCCUGGUAGCGGGGGAUAACUAUUGGAAACGAUAGCUAAUACCGCAUAAGAGUAGAUGUUGCAUGACAUUUGCUUAAAAGGUGCAAUUGCAUCACUACCAGAUGGACCUGCGUUGUAUUAGCUAGUUGGUGGGGUAACGGCUUACCAAGGCGACGAUACAUAGCCGACCUGAGAGGGUGAUCGGCCACACUGGGACUGAGACACGGCCCAGACUCCUACGGGAGGCAGCAGUAGGGAAUCUUCGGCAAUGGACGGAAGUCUGACCGAGCAACGCCGCGUGAGUGAAGAAGGGUUUCGGAUCGUAAAGCUCUGUUGUAAGAGAAGAACGAGUGUGAGAGUGGAAAGUUCACACUGUGACGGUAUCUUACCAGAAAGGGACGGCUAACUACGUG
rnacentral:rRNA from 1 species